GCGCGGGUAGCUCAGUGGUAUCCAGGCCGAGCAUCCUGAGAGGGAAGGACGGUGGUUCAAACCCAUCCCCGCGCACCA
rnacentral:tRNA from 1 species